rnacentral:rRNA from 1 species
AUUGAACGCUGGCGGCAGGCCUAACACAUGCAAGUCGAGCGGAGCGGCGGACGGGUGAGUAAUGCCUAGGAAUCUGCCUGGUAGUUGGGGAUAACGUCCGGAAACGGGCGCUAAUACCGCAUACUAUCAGAUGAGCCUAGGUCGGAGUAGCUAGUUGGUGGGUUAAAGGCCUACCAAGGCGACGAUCCGUAACUGGUCUGAGAGGAUUAUCAGUCACACUGGAACGGAGACACGGUCCAGCCUCCUACAGGAGGCAGCAGUGGGGAAUAUUGGUCAAUGGGCGAAAGCCUAAGCCAGCCAUGCCGCGUGUGUGAAGAAGGUCUUCGGAUUGUAAAGCACUUUAAGUUGGGAGGCGUUCCCAACAGUAUAAGCACCAGCUAACUUCGUGCCAGCAGCCGCGGUAAUUC